rnacentral:rRNA from 1 species
UAGAUUCAAAAGACCGGCUCCGGACGGACAACCGAAUAAAUGCGGAGCCACCCGGGCCUGUUUAAUACCUGGGGCUAAUGACGGUACCGUAAGAAUAAGCACCGGCUAACUACGUGCCAGCAGCCGCGGUAAUACGUAGGGUGCAAGCGUUAAUCGGAAUUACUGGGCGUAAAGCGUGCGCAGGCGGUUUUGUAAGACAGGCGUGAAAUCCCCGGGCUUAACCUGGGAAUGGCGCUUGUGACUGCAAAGCUGGAGUGCGGCAGAGGGGGAUGGAAUUCCGCGUGUAGCAGUGAAAUGCGUAGAUAUGCGGAGGAACACCGAUGGCGAAGGCAAUCCCCUGGGCCUGCACUGACGCUCAUGCACGAAAGCGUGGGGAGCAAACAGGAUUAGAUACCCUGGUAGUCCACGCCCUAAACGAUGUCAACUGGUUGUUGGGUCUCUUCUGACUCAGUAACGAAGCUAACGCGUGAAGUUGACCGCCUGGGGAGUACGGCCGCAAGGUUGAAACUCAAA